UUUACCACACGGUCCAGAAUCCUNCNGGAGGCGUCAGUAANGAAUCUUCCUCAAUGGACGAAAGCNUGACGGANCUACUCCGCANGAGUGAUGAGGUCUUCGGAUNGUGAUACUCUGUUGUUAGGGAAGAACAAAUUUGUUAGUAACUGUACNAUCUUGACGGUACCUAACCAGAAAGCCACGCUANUCAAGGCUC
rnacentral:rRNA from 1 species